rnacentral:rRNA from 1 species
GCAGCAGGCGCGCAAAUUACCCACUCCCGGCACGGGGAGGUAGUGACGAAAAAUAACGAUACGGGACUCAUCCGAGGCCCCGUAAUCGGAAUGAGUACACUCUAAACCCUUUAACGAGUAUCCAUUGGAGGGCAAGUCUGGUGCCAGCAGCCGCGGUAAUUCCAGCUCCAAUAGCGUAUAUUAAAGUUGUUGCGGUUAAAAAGCUCGUAGUUGGACUUGUGUCCCACUCUGUCGGUUCACCGUUCGUCGGUGUUAACUGGCAUGCCUGUGUGGACGUCCUGCCGGUGGAUGCGGUCGGCCGUGGGCCUCUGGUCUGCGUGUCGGCGGUCCGAUGCAAUCCUACCGCGGUGCUCUUCACCGAGUGUCGAGGUGGGCCGGCACGUUUACUUUGAACAAAUUAGAGUGCUCAAAGCAGGCAGUGGUUCGCCUGAAUAUUGUGUGCAUGGAAUAAUGGAAUAGGACCUCGGUUCUAUUUUGUUGGUUUUCGGAACCUGAGGUAAUGAUUAAUAGGGACAGACGGGGGCAUUCGUAUUGCGACGUUAGAGGUGAAAUUCUUGGAUCGUCGCAAGACGAACCUAAGCGAAAGCAUUUGCCAUGAGUGUUUUCAUUAAUCAAGAACGAAAGUUAGAGGUUCGAAGGCGAUCAGAUACCGCCCUAGUUCUAACCAUAAACGAUGCCAGCUAGCGAUCCGCCGAAGUUCCUCCGAUGACUCGGCGGGCAGCUUCCGGGAAACCAAAGCUUUUGGGUUCCGGGGGAAGUAUGGUUGCAAAGCUGAAACUUAAAGGAAUUGACGGAAGGGCACCACCAGGAGUGGAGCCUGCGGCUUAAUUUGACUCAACACGGGAAACCUCACCAGGCCCGGACACCGGAAGGAUUGACAGAUUGAUAGCUCUUUCUUGAUUCGGUGGGUGGUGGUGCAUGG